UACAAUGCCACCGAGAAAAAGGUUUACUAAGUGUGAAAUAUGUGGCAAGCGAGCCACUCGAGAAAAUCACGAAAAAAGGGAUUUUAUGGCGAAAUUUCCCUUGGAUAAAGACCGAUGCAGGCAGUUGGUCAAAUUUGUUGGGAACGAAGACCUGAUACAUCUUCCCAUAGAAAAGUUACAUUUAUUGAAACAUGUAUCUGCAGAUCAUUUUGAAAAUAGUGCUUUUAAUAAAAAAAAAUAAGAAAAAAAUA